rnacentral:ncRNA from 1 species
GAUAAUGCGAUGAAAUAGUAAGUAAGGUCGCCUCGCCUUCACAGAGAGCUUCGGGUGGUGGAACGAAGCAAGGCAACGACAUGAAAAUGGCUAUGGAGCGAAGAUUUCGAAUGGCUUAAGCUAAUUCAAGUCUCGGUGCGACCGUUAAAAGCAAAGAGUAUCCAAUCAGGGUACUCGCUAAGGGGCAAUAUGUGAGUAUUGCCUGAACAAGAGGUGGUAACGCGUCAUGACGCCCUCAAG